GAGAGCCUUUCCCCACGCCUGCGCCCCCGACAGUUCUCUUCCUCUGGACUCAGAGAAAGGGAAUUUCUUGCCCAGAAAUCCCAGUGUUGGUCCCUGAGGGUCUAACCUCCGUGGGUCUCCGCUGGCCUUGCUGCGGGUCACCUCCCAGAACUUUGGGGUACAAUGUUGACCACCUUGGCCUGGCCUCCAAGGAAAGACUGCGUGGGUAGAACACCCCCAGUGACUGUCCAGCCCCUUCCUUGGACAAAGCCCCCUUCUCCACACCCAGGGAAUCACUGACACAGGACCCAUGUCUGUGAAGCCCACGGUCCUGAAGAUCUGAAGAUAUCACAAGGUGUCAGGCGGUGGAAAAAGGCAGGUGCAAGUUCAACAUCUGCUCUCAGGAUUCCUCAAGGCCACAGUGCCCCUUGCAGAAGAAGCUUCUGAGUGCUCAAAUGAGGAGCCUGGAGGAACAGGAGCUUGUGGUAAGAAGAGGGUGGCUCAACCAGGCCAUAGAGCUGACCAGGGAGAAACAGAAAUGACUGGGGUUCGGAGAGACUUCCUCUGGUGUUCCAGUGGCUGGGGCUUUGCCUUCCGACGCAGGGGGGCAGGUUCAGUCUCUGAUUGGGGAGUGAAGAUCCCACAUACCUCUAGGCCAAAAAAGGAAAACAUAAAACAAACAAUAUUGUAACAGAUUAAAAAUACAAACUUAAAAUACAAUGACUGACCACCCCUUCUUCUUUUACCUCCCAGAACUUAGCUGUGUUACAAGAAUAAUGAGUCCUGUUCCUAACACACCUUUGCCACGGUCCUCCAUGGCCCCCUGGGUGGUAGCCAUCCGAUGUUUUAGCUGCUAAGAUUAGUCAGUGACAUCGCCAGAGCCUGUCCUUCGGUGGUGGGUGGUCUGUCCUGCUGCAGAACAGGGCUUGGCAAGGAGAGAGGCCUGUCUCUAGGGCCCCAGAAGGUCAGCUCUUCAGCCAGGCCAACCUGCUGGUUUGGGGCCUCCUGCGGAAAGCUGGAGCUGCAUUUGGGCCUCUUGGGGAGGCUGCAGGUUUCAUGGCCAAAUACCUGCCCUGGUGUCCACCAAGUCUCUGCAGACUCUGCCAAAGCCCUGGACUUGGCCACGGAUGAGAGAAA
rnacentral:lncRNA from 1 species